AACAGCAAAAACAAAACUGACUAACCAACCAAAACCUUCUGAAGGCUUAGUAUUCACAGGCUGUUAUUAGGCAAGGAAGCUUGCCAGUGAGUGUUUAUUUUCAGGACAUCCAAAAUCACAAGCAUAGCCUCCCUAAUACCUCACGGCAAGAGAUACUAACAAGAGGACUUUUCUGAACUUCUGCUCUUCCUACCACAGGCAUUUCUGAUAGACAGCAAGGUCCCUUCUCCGUACACACAUCAAUUCUCUAAUUGUUCUCUUGUAUUUCUGCACAUACUGCAGUUCUGCUAGGUACAAGUUCAGGGAACUCUAAUCCACCGAAUUCAGUCCCCCAUCUAAACCUUCCAUGUGCGUGUCUCUAAAUGAAUUGAAAUAUUAAAAAAAACAACCUUGCUAGGUUCAUAGUUUUCAUUUAUGUGGGACUAACUGAUCAUCAACUGCACCGAUUUUUAUAGCAAAGAUAUUAACAGUGAAAAGUCAACACACACAUAUAUGUGUGGCUUACAAGCGGUAAAAAAGCAUAGAAAAGCCAAAGGUCAGGUGACAUAGAGAACAUGACACCCCUAAGCCAUCAACUCUCCCACAGAGUUGGAACAGAGAUGGAGUAAUCAAGUGAGUGAGUAUCCUCAGCAAGGAGUGGGGCCACGCACAGAACAGACCACGCUGUCUUUUUGCUUCUUCCCUUUGCAGAAUCCAAUAAACUGCCAUUACAGUCUGUCUGCAUGGUUCCAUUACUAGGAUUCUAUAACAUCAGCUUAAUCUCUUGAUAAUUAUAAUAAAUGCUUGUAAUCAAAGUAGGAACCAUUUAGAAAAGGAAGGAGAAAAGCUGUUUUCUGUCAACCUCAUGAGAGUUCUAUGAGCUCGGAAGCAUUCAGCUACUGUGCAGCUUUCCAUUUUGCUCAAAUAAAUACUUAAGAAAACCCCAGUUCAGUGAGACUUUGACUUGAAGCAUAACUUUUUGUUUCAUUUAAAAAUAUGUUAACAAUCAAAAUAAAGAGACAUGUUUGCUUUAGUGCACACAUUUCUAUUUAAGUGAUAAAUGACUUGAUCAGAGACAGCAUUUCCUCAGGGAGCAAACAUAAUAGUUACUUUUGAAAAUGACAGUGUGGUGAUGAGCUACACACAGAGAAGUGGCUUUAAGGAAGUAUCAUUUCCUCGAGCACAGCACAGCUCAACGCAGAAGUUGGGUCUGGGCUUUCUAGAUAAGCAGUGCUAGGUCAUGGAAGUAAUUUAAGGGGGUAACGUGACAGGAAAUGGCUACACAGGAUCAGGGUGGCUUUCAUCUGCAUGGAUCUCACUUGUUAGCUGCGAACAGCAAGAGGCCAGCUGUGAUGAUGUUAGCCAACACAGGUCAUGCUCUAGGGGACAUGGAUUUUCCCCUAUUAAGAGGAUGAUUAGUCCAGUAAAUUACAGCUUUCAGAUGAAGACGACUGUUCCAUCUCUGUGCUGGAAAGGGGAAGAGGAUAGGAGGUUCAUUUCACCACAAGGUAAUUAUG
rnacentral:sRNA from 1 species